UCCUUGAUGGUUCAGAUGGUAAAGAAUCUGCCUGUAAUGCAGGAGACCCGGGUUCAAUCCCUGGGUCAGGAA
rnacentral:tRNA from 1 species